rnacentral:rRNA from 1 species
GACGAACGCUGGCGGCGUGCCUAACACAUGCAAGUCGAACGGGGCCCGCAAGGGUUCAGUGGCGAACGGGUGCGUAACACGUGAAGAAUUUGUCCAACGGCGGGGGAUAGCCGGCCCAACGGCCGGGUAAUACCGCGUACGAUCUUCGGGGGGCAUCCUCUGGAGAUGAAAGCCGCAAGGCGCCGAUGGAGAACUUCGCGGCCUAUCAGCUAGUUGGUGAGGUCAUGGCUCACCAAGGCGACGACGGGUAGCUGGUCCGAGAGGAUGACCAGCCACAUUGGGACUGAGACACGGCCCAGACUCCUACGGGAGGCAGCAGUGGGGAAUAUUGCGCAAUGGGCGAAAGCCUGACGCAGCAACGCCGCGUGGGGAUGAAGGCC